UGCCUACGGGGGGCAGCAGUGGGGAAUAUUGCACAAUGGGGGAAACCCUGAUGCAGCGACGCCGCGUGAGCGAUGAAGCAUUUCGGUAUGUAAAGCUCUAUCAGCAGGGAAGAAAAUGACGGUACCUGACUAAGAAGCCCCGGCUAACUACGUGCCAGCAGCCGCGGUAAUACGUAGGGGGCAAGCGUUAUCCGGAUUUACUGGGUGUAAAGGGAGCGUAGACGGUUCUGCAAGCCAGAUGUGAAAGCCCGGGGCUCAACCCCGGGACUGCAUUUGGAACGGUAAGGCUAGAGUGUCGGAGAGGG
rnacentral:rRNA from 1 species